ACAACUGCAUCUAGAGACUAGAGCCUUAUUCGAUGAAUCCUUCAGAUAUCUCGACCGUUUCAAAAAAGAUGGAAUCAAUGUCAAUUGGCCUUGUUCGUUUGUCUGUCGCUGGCGACUGAAACCAGCGACAUCGACUAAAAGUUGUUCGUUUGCCUGUCGUUGGUUCAGCGACCAAAAGUAGCGACAGUUGCCAGCGACCGCAAUUUUUGGUCGCUGAAAAUUUUAGCGAUCAUUCGCUGGUUUCAGCGUUUAGUCGCUGUUUUUGGUCGCUGAAUCCAGCGACAUGUAAACGAACAAGUUAGCGAUCAAAAAAAUAUAAAUUA
rnacentral:sRNA from 1 species